UUUCAGAUUGGAGAUUGUUUUUCUACAAGCAGAGAGCCACGGGUAUCAAGCUAACGUUACAUCUCAUGGCGUCUAGAUGACCAGUGUCAGCUUCCAACAGCCGCUCCACAUUAACGUCUACAUUUAAUUCGGGUUGCUAUUUAUAUUUACGUGUUUCUCCAAUGAUUUUAGAGGAAUGAAACUAGCAGACAAUCAGCCAGCUAGCUGUUUCAUGCUCUGUUGGCUUAAAUGAAAUGUAACGUGAAGACGGUGGCUAGCCUGUCAACUAGCUGAAGAGUUUGAAUAUUAAACUUACAUCUACAGUGGUCUAUUUGCCCUGACAUUUUUUUAGGCUUGAAGUGGGGAUUUAAUAACAUUGUGUGAUUGUAAGUGAUGCAAGGAGUAAUAAGACUGGCUUAUUUUUUCAUAGGGUCAGCUGAGAAUGAAAAGACAGGGGGACAAGAUAUAUGACUUCUUUUUAAAGAGAAGCACGUCAGGCAAAGAUAAGGCAGACAGACAGACAGACAGACAGAACUCAGCUCUGGCAUCAGCAGUCCUGGCAGCUCCCAUCCUGGGACUAGUCAGGAGAGAGAAUGUGAAGCAUAACACAGCCCAUCAUCACCAGUUCCAUUGAGGGAGGACACAGAAGACAUAGGUGGCAGCUCCCAUCCUGGGACUAGUCAGGAGAGAGAAUGUGAGGCACAACACAGCCCAUCAUCACCAGUUCCAUCGAAGGAGGACACAGAGGCCUCUGAUUCUGACGAGGAUAUUGGUGAGCCAGAAGAGCCAGACCCAGAGCCACCUGUGUCCAGCACUGCUUUUGCUGGUCCAAGAGGACCCAGUGAUAUUUCAAGAUGCAAAGAGGAGGGUCCAGUUCCAAAGAGUGCAACUUUCUUAAAUGAGGAGCCUCUGUUUGCCUUUGCACAGACCUUUGAGUCAGACCUCAGUGACCUUAAACAUGAGGUUCACCAAACCAAGCGACUUCUUGACAGGAGAGUGAAAAGUGGAUUAGACAGACCAUCUACUUUGCUUUAUUUUAUUGUGUUUCUUGAGCCUUACAAAGAGGUUUUCCAUGAGAUAUUCAGACUUUGCAAGAUUGCUGUUGUUACUCCAGUCAACACUGCUUCCUGUGAGAGAAGCUUCUCUGCUUUAAAACUGAUAAAAAACUCACCUCAGGACAACAAUGGCUGAUGACAGGUUAAGUCACCUUGAAACUCUCAGUAUUGAGUCAAGGAGGGCAUGUGCCCUCAACAUGGAUGACUUUGUGAAACAUUUUGCGACUUCUUACCACAACCAAAGGAUUAUGCUUUUCUGAACCUGCAUAAGGUAGUUUCACACUAAGAUAGUGUCUCUGGUCAUGACUAAGCUCUUCACUAUGUUCUACUUAGACCAAGGAUAGUUUGGGAGUCAGACAGUACCCCUUGUCAUAGUUAAAACCUGCACUAUGUUCAAAUGUUCAAAAAUGGUGUCAAAUUGUUUGUUGAUAUAUUGAUGCCUUUUUUUUUGAGUGAGUGAGUGAGUAACUGUGUGAGUAUCUGUGUGAGUAAGUAACUGUGUGUGUGUGUGUGUGUGAGUGAGUAACUGUGUGAGUAGCUGUG